rnacentral:rRNA from 1 species
UAACACGUGGGUAACCUGCCUGUAAGACUGGGAUAACUCCGGGAAACCGGGGCUAAUACCGGAUGCUUGAUUGAACCGCAUGGUUCAAUUAUAAAAGGUGGCUUUUAGCUACCACUUACAGAUGGACCCGCGGCGCAUUAGCUAGUUGGUGAGGUAACGGCUCACCAAGGCAACGAUGCGUAGCCGACCUGAGAGGGUGAUCGGCCACACUGGGACUGAAACACGGCCCAAACUCCUACGGGAGGCAGCAGUAGGGAAUCUUCCGCAAUGGACGAAAGUCUGACGGAGCAACGCCGCGUGAGUGAUGAAGGUUUUCGGAUCGUAAAACUCUGUUGUUAGGGAAGAACAAGUACCGUUCGAAUAGGGCGGUACCUUGACGGUACCUAACCAGAAAGCCACGGCUAACUACGUGCCAGCAGCCGCGGUAAUACGUAGGUGGCAAGCGUUGUCCGGAAUUAUUGGGCGUAAAGCGCGCGCAGGCGGUUUCUUAAGUCUGAUGUGAAAGCCCCCGGCUCAACCGGGGAGGGUCAUUGGAAACUGGGGAACUUGAGUGCAGAAAAGGAGAGUGGAAUUCCACGUGUAGCGGUGAAAUGCGUAGAGAUGUGGAGGAACACCAGUGGCGAAGGCGACUCUCUGGUCUGUAACUGACGCUGAGGCGCGAAAGCGUGGGGAGCGAACAGGAUUAGAUACCCUGGUAGUCCACGCCGUAAACGAUGAGUGCUAAGUGUUAGAGGGUUUCCGCCCUUUAGUGCUGCAGCAAACGCAUUAAGCACUCCGCCUGGGGAGUACGGUCGCAAGACUGAAACUCAAAGGAAUUGACGGGGGCCCGCACAAGCGGUGGAGCAUGUGGUUUAAUUCGAAGCAACGCGAAGAACCUUACCAGGUCUUGACAUCCUCUGACAACCCUAGAGAUAGGGCUUCCCCUUCGGGGGCAGAGUGACAGGUGGUGCAUGGUUGUCGUCAGCUCGUGUCGUGAGAUGUUGGGUUAAGUCCCGCAACGAGCGCAACCCUUGAUCUUAGUUGCCAGCAUUCAGUUGGGCACUCUAAGGUGACUGCCGGUGACAAACCGGAGGAAGGUGGGGAUGACGUCAAAUCAUCAUGCCCCUUAUGACCUGGGCUACACACGUGCUACAAUGGGCAGAACAAAGGGCAGCGAAGCCGCGAGGCUAAGCCAAUCCCACAAAUCUGUUCUCAGUUCGGAUCGCAGUCUGCAACUCGACUGCGUGAAGCUGGAAUCGCUAGUAAUCGCGGAUCAGC